rnacentral:rRNA from 1 species
UACGUAGGGGGCUAGCGUUGUCCGGAAUCAUUGGGCGUAAAGAGCGUGUAGGCGGUCUGGUAAGUCCGCUGUGAAAGUCGGGGGCUCAACCCUCGAAUGCCGGUGGAUACUGUCGGGCUAGAGUGCGGAAGAGGCGAGUGGAAUUCCUGGUGUAGCGGUGAAAUGCGUAGAGAUCAGGAAGAACACCGGUGGCGAAAGCGCUCUGCUGGACCUUAACUGACACUGAGGGACGAAAGCUAGGGGAGCGAAUGGG